GCCCUGGGUAGGUUCCUGUGGUAUUAGGUGGACUGGAGAAAGAGGCCCGGGUGAAUUAAGUGUAGUUCUCUUAUGCUCUGGCGGACUCUGGUCGCCCUUCCUUGUGAAGGCUGCCUGGGUAGCCGUAGAUGACGAGGCCACUCUAAAGCCUCGUUUUCCCAGCGGAAUUUUAACUAUUCUAAGGAUGUCCUUACAGCCAGUUCUCCACUCCGCUACUCAGAGUGUGUCAGACUUUACCCUGUCCAUUCAACUCCAGAAAAACCGGGAGGUCUAGAUUCGGAAGAUUAAAUUUACCUUUGAAUUAGGACAUGUAAAAUAGGAAGUUAAUACUAGCAUCCUAAUGACAAAAGUUUUCUCGUUAUCAUACUUGACUCAAAUGGGAAUCUUACGGAUAUUAAUGUUUUUUCCAGAAACAGGUUUGAAAGGUAUUUCAAGGAUAAAUCAGGGGAAAGGGAUGGAAGCAACUGAUUUUUAAUUUUUAGAUAGUACUCUCAGAGCAUUUAUUUAGUCCAAAACUGUUAAUUUAAUGAAUUAGGCUAAACUAGACGCUGGGGUAACAAAGCUGAGUUAGAUACCCUCUCCUCUGAGGCAGCUAAAGAGAAGGAAAGUCUGGUGGCUGACAAGUAAACCAACAGUUAUGUUCUUCAGAGAGGAGAUCUCAGACUCUCUAAGCAAAAGAAACUAAUAGCUGUAUGACAACAGCCAAAGAGUAAAUAUCCUUUCAAGUCCAAUCCUGCCUAAGAUGUCAAAAUCAAGAAUGAAGAGGUUAUGUGCUGAAACAGAAUGACCUUCACGAGAUGCAGCCUCUGGAUCUUGGACUUCCCCAGCCUCCAGAACUAAGACCUACCUUGCAAGAAAUGUUAAAAGAAAUUUUUCAGAGAAAUGGAAAGAUACAAGUCAGAAACUCAUAUCUACAUGGAAAAAGGGAGUUAGAGAAGAACAAAUGAAGAAAAGCUGAGCAGAGCCCCAUAAAUGAGAAGCCACGAAGACUGAGGUUACACAGUGAUCCACAGUUGCCACAAAACUGAGCAGGCAUCAAGGUACAUCUUGGUGUUGAAUGAAGUUGUUCCAUAUGGGCUCAUUUCUCAGGAAGCCCGAUCGGGUUAAAAGAGAAGGCAAAUUCCUUUUAGCUGCAAUUAUUAUUUGUGGAAUAUCUAAUCACAUGAUGCUGUGAAGUGCACACAAUACACAGAAGACACCAACAUUAACUUUGAGGAAUUUAUCAUCUGUAUGUGAGGAUUUGGGUAAAUAUAGAACAAAAACAGCGUUUCCAUUUUCCCACCUAGCAGACAAAAAUGGCUAUAUUGUAAAGUGCAACUAAUCUCUCACAAAGUAUACUGAUGCCAGUGCCAGCCCUAUAUACCCAGAAAUAUCACCCACUGGCCUUAUUUUGCUGCCUGCUACAAUCCCCUUCCACCCCACUAUAUUCUAGAUGUAUUAGCCUUCUUUUCUGGACUGAUCAUGUAAUUUGCAAGACCAAUGUGAGGCCUCUUGUUAAAAAUGUAAGAAUUUCAUGGUAGUGACAGCAGAGCAUUAAACUGGGGCCCUUUAAGCAUGAGGGCAUGUGUAACACCCAGGUUGCAUGCCCAUGAAGUCGGUUUUGCUUCUUUCUGUUUCUCACAUAUGCCAAAUUCAUUCCCACCCCAGGGCUCUGAUACCUGCUGUUCUCUCUGUUUGGAAUGCUCUUCUCAUGGCUAAGGUCUCAGCUCAAAUGCUUCUUCCUCAGAAAGGCCUUCCUUUACAACUCUGUUUAAAGAAGCCUUAUUUUUUUUUGUCACUCUAUGUGACAUCAUAUUAUUUAGCUUUUUUCCCCAAUAUUUUGCUUUGCUGUUUUUUUUUUGCUAAUUUAUUUAUAGACUUACAUAAGUUAUCUAUUUCCCCUCCAUUAAAAUGUAAAUUCCACAACAGGAGGACUUUAUCUUGUUCACUCUGUCUUGUUCAGAUGGUUCCUAAAACAGUACUUGGUAUGAGUAGAUGUCCAGUAAAUACGUUUUUGAUGAAUAAAUGAACAAACUAGAUUAUUUACAAGACAUUUCUAAUUUAUAAAAAGUCUUCACUGGUCUUCAGGUUUUUAUGUUUUCCAAUAGACUCAGCUAAUACACACACAUGCACACCAACACACAAAUGAACCAAUGACUGAAGUUCAAAACUUUAGCCAAUCCAGUACAUCAGAAAUGGAACCCUCAUUCGGCUGUGAUUACUAAGUGAUUUAUCUUUAGAAAUCAUACUACAUUUUAAAGAUCAACAAGCUUUUAAACUUAAUUCUACUGUGGCUCUCAUAACUCAACAAUUUUAAAGUAAAAGUCCAAAGUUGGCAUAUAUUAAAAUGUUGAUUGAAAGUAUCUUGUAAAAUAAUUUCUAAGAAAAUAUGGUAAAUGUUUUCAUUGCAACUAUGCCUAUUGUUGAAAACAGAAUAUAAUUAUUAAGACAUUAUUACAUGCUAUGAGAAAACUGAAUGCAGCUAUAAUCUUCCACAAAGUUAAUAUUCACUUUAAAGUAG